UAGCGCAUGCAGCAGCUCCGCCAGGCGACCUCUGAUCAGCGAGCAUCCACCAGAGAUUCCACGGUGAAGCAGCAGUGCCAGCAUGACCAGCAACUCCGGCCAACGAGCCACUGCGAAGCUCCAGCGCCGGCGAGCAACAACAACACCAGCGAACGCCAGCAUCUUUAGCGCCACCAGUCGCCUGUUUCUCCGGCGAAAACGACAAUCACUUUGCAUUAUUUGGAUUGCUUAAGACGGAUCUUAACUGAUCCAUCCCAGGAAACUGAGGAAGCUCAACAUCUAAAAAAGUUGAUACAAGACUAUAUUGCUUCUUUCAUCAAAGUAGGAGAUAAGGAAAAAGAAUUGGGACGCACUCCCAUUGAACCAGAGGUUUUCAAAAAGACUCAUGUCAGGAAGAAAGAAAAUGAGUUGGAUCCGAAUGUGUGGGUGGAGGAAAAGGCCGAACGAACUUUUAAUGACUUUCAUAAGUACGUCGCUGAGAAUCUAGAUAGUUCGGUUCAAUUGACACCUGAACUGUCCACUCAGAUUUGGAAAGAAAAAGUGAUAGGGGGGACACACAAG